AACGCACAUUGCGCCCCUUGGUAUUCCGGGGGGCAUGCCUGUUCGAGCGUCAUUGCAACCCUCAAGCUUGGCUUGGUAUUGGGCCCUCGCCUCCCCCCGCCCGGGGGAGGCGUGCCCGCAAAUUAGUGGCGGUCCAGGGAGACUUCAAGCGCAGUAAUACUAUCCGCUUGCGAGAUCUCGCCUGCGGCCCGGCCGUGAAACCCCCCAUUUUCCAAUGAUUGACCUCGGAUCAGGUAGGGAUACCCGCUGAACUUAA
rnacentral:misc_RNA from 1 species